UAGACGUUCUGGGCCGCACGCGCGCUACACUGACUGAGCCAGCGAGUCUUGCCUUGGCCGAGAGGUCCGGGAAAUCUUGUGAAACUCAGUCGUGCUGGGGAUAGAGCAUUGUAAUUUUUGCUCUUCAACGAGGAAUUCCUAGUAAGCGCAAGUCAUCAGCUUGCGUUGAUUACGUCCCUGCCCUUUGUACACACCGCCCGUCGCUACUACCGAUUGAAUGGUUUGGUGAGGCUUCCGGAUUGACCUAAGAACGAGGGCGACCUUGAUCUGGGGUUGAAAAGCUAGUCAAACCUAAUCAUUUAGAGGAAGUAAAAGUCGUAACAAGGUUUCCGUAGGUGAACCUGCGGAAGGAUCAUUAAAAAAUUAAUUGUUUACACGAUUACGUUUAACAUAUACAACUAACCAACUUAAUUAUGUCAACAACAACCAAAAAUCAAAACUUUCAACAACGGAUCUCUUGGUUCUCGCAUCGAUGAAGAACGCAGCGAAAUGCGAUAAGUAAUAUGAAUUGCAGAUUUUCGUGAAUCAUCGAAUCUUUGAACGCACAUUGCACCUUGUGGUAUUCCACAAGGUAUGCCUGUUUGAGCGUCAUUUCUCCCUCAACCCCCGCGGGUUGGCGUUGAAUGGCACGAGCUCUUAGUCAGUCCAUUCGAAAAGUAUUUUUCUUGAGUUGUUAUUUUCUAAUUUAGUAGUGACAACCACUAAAAACACAUUUUCCUCAAAUCAGGUAGGACUACCCGCUGAACUUAAGCAUAUCAAUAAGCGGAGGGAAAAGAAACCCACAGGGGAUUGCCUCA
rnacentral:rRNA from 1 species